CCCAGGCAGAAAGCGAUGGGCCCGAGAUGGGAGAAAUAUUUGUAGAGGGAGAGAGUUGGAGGGUAAAUGGGGAAUGAAAAAAGCUCAUUAGCUAAAAGGCUCCUCUCUCACCUCCUGCUGUGACAUUUGGAUUUGUGUGUUUGUGUCACUGUAUGUGUGUGUGUGUGUGUGUGUGUGUCCACAGGGUUGCGUUCAAAAGGACAAAGAGCCUUGUCAAGUCAACAAGCAGCCAGUGAAGCAAACGGUACAGGUCACAAACACACUGACAGGCUGCACCACAUGUUUGGACGUCCGUAUUGUUUGAGGGCACUGAUUCUUUUUCCAAGUCAUUUAACUUUAGAUGGUGUUAGGCUGUCCAAUGAUUAUCAUUCUCUGUGAAAGACAUAUCGACACGAUAGACAAGUGAAUAGACAGACAGACAGACAGACAGUUAGGGGCUAAGAGGGGUGCAGCUUUGUUGCAAUGUAUCCUUAUCCUGUGGUAUAUCUUGAGAAAUGCAUAUUUCAAUGCUGGACAAACUUUAGAAAUGUAUUACUCAGAAUACAAUUUUUUUCUUCCCCCUGCUUGCAAUGUUGACAUGUAGUUAUUGUAAGACUGGUUUGUGCUUAAGUCCUCUUUUUUCUGUACAGCUUCAUUUUUAAAAGUUAUUAGGGGGUUCAUGUUUUCUAUGAUUGACACUUGAUACAGCCUUUAACACGGCUGUCUGAGCCGUGUGUUAUCACAACAACUCCUGGCGACUCUAUGCCGAAUGCAUACAAUGCUACUGCGCAAUCUUAGUUGAAGUGGAGAAAAAAUGUGGCAUUACAGAGAGCUUUUUGGCUUUGAAUCCGUAUACUGGCAGAAUGUGGAACCAAGUUGUCCAUAGUAUAUACAGACUACUGUAUGUAUUUUACCUUUUGGUAUACGUCCCAAGAUAUGCUACAAUGUUACAAUGUCAUUUAGCAGACGCUUUUAUCCAAAGCGACGUACAUUCGUACAUCCGCAAAGCAGCUCAUGUCCCCCCUUAUACUGUGAUUCACACCAAAAUUGUUACUGUUGCGUGUCUUUUAUUAACUUUUAUUUGUGUUUGAACUGGUAUGUUGACUGUUCAUAAUGUUCUGAAAACAACAAAGCUCUUAUUAGAUACAUAAAUGCAUGAUUUAUUAUGCAAUAUUUGUAAGUGUACACUUCCUUGUAUCUUCACUGGUUAUCUUUCAGCAUUGAAAAUUCCAACGACACCCUUAUUUUUGUGUGUUCUGGAUCACAGUAUCCGGAAUUUUGUCUGGAUCAGGAUCAACCUUUGACACCUCAUAAAACUCAUUGAGAUCCUUUUGUGUAAUUUUUUACUUAAGACUCUGGCCAUUUUUAUAGAGUGAAAUGCAAAAAUUCCAAAAUUUGCCCUAUCUCACAAUGAUAAAGAAUCCUUCAAAAAAUUCCUUGAUCCAGAAGGCGAUCCGGAUCACCACCAAUAUCUAAUGGGAUCCUCCUGGGGCUGAGACGCACAUCUGGUGAAAAUUUCAGGUCAAUCCAUCUGUUACUUUCUCCGUAAAGUUGCUAACAGACAAACAAACAAACAAACAAACAAACCAACGCUACCAAAAACAUAACCUCCUUGGCGGAGGUAAUAUCCUCCAAACAAGAAACAACCAUCAUCUACCAUCAUCAGCAUCAAUUACCUUGUCAUCACCACAAAAUUUCUGAGGUACCAAGUGCUGGGUCACUUAAAGGCUGAACAUAAAUUCCCAGAGUUGAGCAGAACAGUGCUAGGCAACUGUAGACUCAUUCAACCACUGGGGACAGCAGUGGAGAGUGGUCUAGUGAAGUGCAUAGUAUAACACGGGCCUGUUCACGUUAUAUCAGAUAGAGGAUACCACAAGUCCAGAGUUAUCAUCAUCCCUCUACCCUGUCCCCACUUUCUUACUUUAGAUAACUGAUCGAAAAACAAAACAGAAACAACAACAAAUUGAAACAACUAACAGGUGAUAUACUUUCUUCUUUCUUUUCUCCUAACACAGCUCUUCUCUGCUCUUUUCUUUUUUAAGAGCUGUCAAGGUGAAUAUUCACUUUGGUUACUGAAGCGGACAAAUUACACCUUUUAAAGCUGUGAGGUGUGUGUGUAUGUGUGUGUGUGUGUGUGUAUUAAGUGUGUAUGUGAUACAUCUAGGCAGCGACAGUUUCAUCAAGUGCAAAUUCCAUUUUUGUAGUGAUGGUCUGGAGAGAGUAUCAUUUAUGCUUCAUUAGUUCAGAGUGUGUCUGGGGGGUGUUUGUGUGUGAGCGAGUCAGAGGACUUUAAUUAGUCAAAGUUUUUGUGUGUGAUUUGAAACCUUGGUACAGUUGUUUGGUAAUGAAUGACUGCAUUAUUUUCCAGUGUAAAAGCAGAACACUAUCACAUUAUUGUUCUCCUUCCUUCCAAAUUCAAACCGCAGAUAGUAAACAUUUAAUCAGGAGGACUCUCUUCUGCUUAAAAACUGUCAGUAAUGUGCUGCUGUCAGAUGUCAUUUUUAUGUUACAUUGCAGCAAGUUGCAGAAGUGUAGUUUCUCAAUGUCUCCUUUGUCUUGAGCUCCAGGCCUCCCUCUGUGCUAAUUCUGAGAGCUUGCAAAGCUCUUUUGUGAUUUAUUGGGUUUUUGCCACCUUGAUUUUAAGCUGCCCCAAAUGGUUCCCCCUCUGGGCAUAGCUACAAAAACAGGGCUCUUCCUACAUUUACAUAUGAUCAAAAAAUACUGAUUUUUUUUUUUUUUAACUGAAGUAAUUCACAAGUAUCCUUAUUCCAGUACAAAACUUCUCCAAAUUUUGGACUAGGCUGCCAAACGACAGCUGAAAUGUUAACCCACGACAAAUUACAAUUUACUAGGACGAAUAAUUAUCAUUAUUACCACAGCACAACUUACAACUAUCUUUUAGUGUCUGGGACACAAGGUUUUACAAAGCUAUUGUUUUUGUUACAAUCAAAACUGCAAAUACAAGUAGAGGGUGUAAACAAUUACAAUUUUGUAAUUGUUUUGGUUCAACUUUUUGACUGAUUUUUAAAGUUUUUUUUUUUUUGAUGAUUGUCCACGAGAUUCAGUUAAGGAUUAAAACACAGAGAGAAGGAAGAGAACUUGACUCGAGCAGCUAACAACAAAUAAGUUAUUUAAGAUGACUGAAAAUAGCACCAAUGGAAAGGCCAGUGAAUGACUUCUGAUUCACAGCACAAAUAGAUUAACUGUCAGAUCUGCAUUUUUCACGGCUCUGCAUUCUGUAAGAUUAUGGUGCGCAGACAGGUUAUUCAGUCACAGUAACAAUACUGAAGUCAGAUGAGAAAUUAGAAAGUUGGGCACAAACUUUAUUUACUGCAGCUACCAUGAGAGAGAGAGAGAGAGAGAGAGAGAGAGAGAGUAAUUAGAGAUAGAGCAUUUAGCCAGCUCAGUGAGCACAGAGAUGAGACAACUGAGCAGAAAAUCACCAAUGGCUGGAGUCAAGAUGCAAUCUGCUGCCUGACAAGUACUUCAUGAGCUGUUUCGUGUUUUAACAUUUAUUUUUAAAGGCUUGUGGUUUACAAUCACUGCUGCUCCUGAUAAGUUCUGAAAAUCAUUUUUACUUUAAAUGUAGUAUAAUAUGUUACUUUAUUUUAGAGUUAACCCAGUGUUGUGUAUGGUAAGGUUUUGAAAAAAUAGCUAUAUACACGUUAAAGCUACUCUAGUCAGUGUUUAAACGCUGUUAAGGUUCUCACACCUUCAACUACCUUAUAUCCAGUAGCUAGCAGGUAAAGAGAAGACAACAUCUUAUGAGAAAAGGAGACCAUAUGUUGGAUCUACAUAUUCGAUUUACAAAAAAUAAGUCUGUGAAAGGACUUCCUUGCAGGGUUGUGGAGUCCAAGUUGAUGGUAGAAUAAGGCCUAACACAAUUUUGUUUGGCUGUCACAUACAUUGACGAUAGCAAGAUGAGAAUUCUUAGCGAGGCAUGAAUGGUGCAGAUCACAUGAUGUUAAGGAGCAAAAUUUGCAAAUUUUUUCAAAUCCACGGACACAAAGCUUCUGUCUUAAAUAAAAGGUGACACAAAGAUGCAAAGACUGUAUGAAUCACACAGAAAGUGAGGUUCAUGUUAGACAGCCAGUACAAACAAUGAGACAUCUCAUGCAUCUCUUGAUUGUUGGACUGCUGAUGCUGCUUUUUCUUCCUUAUCACCUUUGAUGAGGCCUUUCUUCCAAACUUUUUUUGACAUACGAAUAAACACAAAACCUUACAGACCAAAGUUAUGGAUGAGCUGUUGACCCAAAACUGUCCUCCAGGUCAGAAGGUGGUCCAGAGAAGAAAAUCUGAGGCAUAUCUAGAACCUGGGAGGAAAAAGGAAAAUGCUGCCUGGAUCAAGUUUAUGCAAAGCCACCUUCCAUCCCACACUUGACUAGACCUUUCCAUCUCAAUUUGAGCGUGUGUGUUUACUAAUGUUCAUAUUUUCUCAUGUAUCACAGCUGAGUUGGAGCCUAGUUGAAAAUGGCUCAAUCGCUUAUAUUUGCUCCUUAGUUUUAACUCUGCUUCUCAUACAUUUACUGUAUCCUUUUUAAUUAUUGCCUUUUCAGAGACUAAAGACUAUGUAUCAUUGUUUUGUUGUUACAUAUCCCAAAUACCAUAAAUACAAACAUUGAAAAAUGAGUGGUUCUGGCAGCAAUGAUGAUAAGCCAUUUAGCGUGGACACAAGAGGAUGCCUUUAAAAAGUGGAGUUUACAGAAGAAGAACCAGCCUUGUUAGACUAAGGAGAAAGGAGAGAGACUCCUUUGUUAACUGGAGAGCAAAGAGAUCCCAAGUUACCUGAGGCUGCAGGUGCGUAAAUGGAGUUCAUCAUGCCCAUUAAUGAAGAGGGUCACUGCUGUCGUGAAUGGGGCUUGGUUAACUACAGUAUUUCAGGACCUUUCCAUAGUUACAACCCCAGUCAAGGUAAUGACUGCUGACAGUUUUCAAGAGGACCAUCAUUGACCCCCUACACAUGGAGGGUCAAGCCACAGAGGGUCGAGCCAUAGAGCAAAUUAAUGGACAGUCGACUAAAAGGGAAAAGAAAACAGUGCACACACAAAAUGCAUUCUACUUUAUGCCACUGCCACACUGCAACUUCAAAACAAACAAACACAAAAAAAGGCUUGAAAUAUUCCACCCGACUUGUUUUAUUCAGUAGACUGACACCAGGAGUUUAGUAUCGAAGUUGUUCCUUCUUGUCUGACUUUGAAUGAACUUUAACUCUCACUGAAUUCACACAAUUAAUAAAGCAUGCUUCAGCUAACACACACUUACAAUUAAUUCACUGCAUGCAUGAACACAUGCACGUGCCCCACACUUUAGAAUGUGUCAGUGCCUGCGCUGAAGAUUAUUAGUGAGCCCAUUACAAAAAAAAGAAACACUUAUUUCUGAACACACAAUAGAAACACACACACAGAAAAACAGUAUGUACUCAAACAAUGCAGCACACAGUUACUAAAAUACACUAAAUGACCUUAUAGGGAGAAAUAUGAUUCUUUAUUCGCUAGGAAAAAAAAACACUUGAAGUCACAAUUACAGUUUUUGUCAUGAGAAAAUAACAAAGCUGAAUAAAUAUUAUAAAGUACAGCUUUAGUUGAUGAUGAUUUAGGAAGUUGUAUCACAACAAGAGUUUUCAGCCACCCCAUUGAUAAGCGCACCUUCAGUUAAAAAUGCAUAUUUGACCUGGCGCUUAACUAAAACCAUAUUUUGCAUAUUCAAAUUAAUAAAUCUCUGAGUUAGGACCAUAGACUGUAUACACUAUGGACAACUUGGUUCCACCUUCUGCCAGUAUAAGGAUUUGAGGCCAAAAAGCUCUCAGUGUUUCCGCAAUUCUUCUCCAUUUCCUGAAACCAGUAUUGGGCAGUGGCAUUGCGUGCACUCCACCACUUGCGCAGUACCAUUGUACGCAUUCGGCGGGAGAGUCGCUAUGAUGACACUCGGCUCAAACAUCGUAUCCCCAGGGUGAGCUAUGCAAUCUUCAUACGCCCAUAGGCUGUAUCAAGUGUCAAUCAUAGAAAACAUGAACCCCCUAAUAACUUUUAAAAACGGGGCUACACAGAAAAAAGAGGACUUGAGCACAAACUAGUCUUACAUAACUACACGUCAACAUCACAAGCAGGGAGGAGAAAAAAUAAUAUUCUGUGUAAUAAAUUUCUAAAGUUUGUCCACAGCUCCAUAGAGAUUGCUGGAGGAGGUGGGAUUUAUGACCUGUACUGCAGCCCGUCGCCAGAGGGUGCUGUUCUCAGGGUGGCUUCACCCAGCGGGGAGGCAGAGGGCGUCCGUUCUAUAUACACUCUAAUGUUAGGACCCUUCAACUGAAAAAUCAUACCACUGACCAACAUCUGAGAAACCUAUUUAAACAUUUUUAUUACAGAAGGUGAAUGAAACCUUGACCAACAGAUACUGAUCACACCUUGCCACAGAUUGGCCUGACCUACUGUCUUUACAUGGUGUAGAAGCAAAGUCUGUUUUUUUCCUUUGCUGGUUUAUUCAUAUCUUUACCCACAAGCAAUCCAUGGACAAAUCCUAUUUUGAUGCUGUAGGCAGGCUUACAUCAAAUACAUGUGAGUAAAGGCUGUGAUUUGAUGGUAUGUGCCGCAUGAUGUACAUAAUUAUGGCAAUAACAGAGAAAUAUAGAGACAGUAAAGAACAGAAUAAUGAUAUACUGAAUGUGUCAGUGUAACAAAAAACAAAAACUGCUAAAUCAGUCAAAAGACUACAGAGGCUUCACUCAGGGAGCAGCUGCUGUCCAGGAACUUCUGUUGACCAGCUGUGUCUCUUUGGCUCAGAUUCACUGUAAAACACAAAUGCACACGCUCUCUCUCUCUCUCUCUCUCUCUCUCUCUCUCUCUCUCUCUCACACACACACACACACACACACACACACACACACACACACACACACACACACACACACACACACACACACACACACACACACACACACACACAGAAGCACACGGUCUCUUGCUGCUUCAGCAGUUAAAAACCAGUGAAGUGUUUCAGAGCACAGCAAGAUGUGACCCGUCAUCAAUCACACAAACACACACACUCCAACACACACGCCUUGACAAUGGAGUGUGCCACUAGGCCAAGCUG